GGAAGGAUCAUUAUUGAAUGAACUUGGUGUGGUUGUUGCUGGCCCUCUCGGGGGCAUGUGCACACCCGCCAUCCUCAUCUCUCCACCUGUGCACCUCUUGUAGACCUGGAUAGACUUUCCGAGGCAACUCGGUCGGGAAGAUUGCUGCGCUCUGUGAGCCAGCUUUCUUUGCAUGUCCAGGCCUAUGUUUUUCAUAUACCCCUAUAGAAUGUAACAGAAUGUAUCAUUGGGCCUUGUGCCUAUAAACCUUAUACAACUUUCAGCAACGGAUCUCUUGGCUCUCGCAUCGAUGAAGAACGCAGCGAAAUGCGAUAAGUAAUGUGAAUUGCAGAAUUCAGUGAAUCAUCGAAUCUUUGAACGCACCUUGCGCUCCUUGGUAUUCCGAGGAGCAUGCCUGUUUGAGUGUCAUUAAAUUCUCAACCUUAUUAACUUUUGUUGAUAAUGGAUUGGAUGUGGGGGUUUCUUUU
rnacentral:misc_RNA from 1 species